UUAUGGCCAUAUCACAUUGAAACACCGGUCCCUAAACAAUCACCAAAGUUAAGCAAUGUUGAGCCUGGUCAGUAUCUAGAUGGGUGACCACUUGGGAAUAACUGGUGCUGUAAG